rnacentral:rRNA from 1 species
UACGUAGGGUGCAAGCGUUGUCCGGAAUUAUUGGGCGUAAAGAGCUCGUAGGCGGUUUGUCGCGUCUGCUGUGAAAACUCGGGGCUUAACUCCGGGCCUGCAGUGGGUACGGGCAGACUAGAGUGCGGUAGGGGAGACUGGAAUUCCUGGUGUAGCGGUGAAAUGCGCAGAUAUCAGGAGGAACACCGGUGGCGAAGGCGGGUCUCUGGAACGGUACUGACGCUGAGACGCGAAAGCGUGGGGAGCGAACAGG